rnacentral:ncRNA from 1 species
GGAACUCUGGAGAAGCCUAUCGUUCGAUAGGGGCCGAAGGGGCAAGGCAGAAAUGCUUAAACUCUCAGGCAAAAGGACAGAUUU